rnacentral:tRNA from 1 species
GGAGAGAUGCCGGAGUGGUUGAACGGGGCGGUCUCGAAAACCGUUGAACCUUUAGGGGUUCCGGGGGUUCGAAUCCCUCUCUCUCCGCCA